UACGUAGGGUGCGAGCGUUAAUCGGAAUUACUGGGCGUAAAGCGUGCGCAGGCGGUCUGUUAAGACCGAUGUGAAAUCCCCGGGCUUAACCUGGGAACUGCAUUGGUGACUGGCAGGCUUUGAGUGUGGCAGAGGGAGGUAGAAUUCCACGUGUAGCAGUGAAAUGCGUAGAGAUGUGGAGGAAUACCGAUGGCGAAGGCAGCCUCCUGGGCCAACACUGACGCUCAGGUGCGAAAGCCAGGGGAGCGAACGGG
rnacentral:rRNA from 1 species